rnacentral:antisense_RNA from 1 species
AUCAUUGAAUUUUUCAUUAACAAAAUUACUAAAUUCUUUUUCAUCUGAAUUGUCAAUUAAAUCAACUGGAUUGAUAUUUGAAUCAAACCACCGGUCAUAUGCUAUGUAAUUUGGUUCUGCAAAAUAUGUCAUACCAAAUUAUUUCAAAAAGAGAAAGCUUCUAUCUUUCGUGUGAGGCGAAUAUAGAAUCUAAUUUCAGUUUAAAAGAUUUACUGAACUCUUCUUUAAGAAU